rnacentral:rRNA from 1 species
CCUACGGGAGGCAGCAGUGAGGAAUAUUGGUCAAUGGGCGCGAGCCUGAACCAGCCAAGUAGCGUGAAGGAUGACUGCCCUACGGGUUGUAAACUUCUUUUAUCAAGGAAUAAAGUGAGGCACGUGUGCCUUUUUGUAUGUACUUUAUGAAUAAGGAUCGGCUAACUCCGUGCCAGCAGCCGCGGUAAUACGGAGGAUCCGAGCGUUAUCCGGAUUUAUUGGGUUUAAAGGGAGCGUAGGUGGGUUGUUAAGUCAGUUGUGAAAGUUUGCGGCUCAACCGUAGAAUUGCAAUUGAUACUGGCAGCCUUGAGUACAGUUGAGGUAGGCGGAAUUCGUGGUGUAGCGGUGAAAUGCUUAGAUAUCACGAAGAACCCCGAUUGCGAAGACAGCUUACUAAACUGUGACUGACAUUGAGGCUCGAAAGUGUGGGUAUCAAACAGGAUUAGAUACCCCUGUAGUC